rnacentral:rRNA from 1 species
ACGGACGAACCUCUGGUGUGCCAGUUGUCCUGCCAAGGGCAUGGCUGGUUGGCUACGUUCGGGAGGGAUAACCGCUGAAAGCAUCUAAGCGGGAAGCCUGCUUCGAGAUGAGUAUUCCCACCUCCUUGAGAGGGUAAGGCUCCCAGUAGACGACUGGGUUGAUAGGCCAGAUAUGGAAGCCUGGUAACGGGUGGAGUUGACUGGUACUAAUAGACCGAGGGCUUGUCCUCAGUUG